rnacentral:rRNA from 1 species
UACGUAGGGCGCAAGCGUUUAUCCGGAAUUAUUGGGCGUAAAGAGCUCGUAGGCGGUUUGUCGCGUCUGCCGUGAAAGUCCGGGGCUCAACUCCGGAUCUGCGGUGGGUACGGGCAGACUAGAGUGAUGUAGGGAAGACUGGAAUUCCUGGUGUAGCGGUGAAAUGCGCAGAUAUCAGGAGGAACACCGAUGGCGAAGGCAGGUCUCUGGGCAUUAACUGACGCUGAGGAGCGAAAGCAUGGGGGAGCGAACAGG